UACGUAGGGGGCAAGCGUUGUCCGGAUUUAUUGGGCGUAAAGAGCGUGUAGGCGGCUUUACAGGUCCGUUGUGAAAACUCGAGGCUCAACCUCGAGACGCCGGUGGAAACCGUAAAGCUAGAGUCCGGAAGAGGAGAGUGGAAUUCCUGGUGUAGCGGUGAAAUGCGCAGAUAUCAGGAAGAACACCCAUGGCGAAGGCGGGUCUCUGGGCCGAUACUGACGCUGAGGAGCGAAAGCGUGGGGAGCGAACAGG
rnacentral:rRNA from 1 species